GGAUGUGAGGGCAAUCUGGCUGCGACAUCUGUCACCCCACUGAUUGCCAGGGUUGAUUCGGCUGAUCUGGCUGGCUAGGCGGGUGUCCCCUUCCUCCCUCAACGAUCCAUGUGCAUCCCUCCUGAAGCUGCACGCUUGGUCGAAGAGGACAACCACCCCCAAUAGAGGAGGACCAUUUCUCAGUCAAGCGUAUACGAGUAGCUGCGCUCCCCUGCUAGAACCUCCAAACAAGCUCUCAACUUACAGCAAUCAUCUUGCCUCAGCCUUUUGAAUGUUGUGAUCACUGGCAAGCACCACCACACCUGCAUCAUGAGUUAUUUUUGAAAAUGUUUGGUGAUCAUUUAG
rnacentral:snRNA from 1 species